rnacentral:rRNA from 1 species
AACGAACGCUGGCGGCAUGCCUAACACAUGCAAGUCGAACGAGAUCUUCGGGUCUAGUGGCGCACGGGUGCGUAACGCGUGGGAAUCUGCCCUUUGGUUCGGAAUAACAGUGGGAAACGACUGCUAAUACCGGAUGAUGACGAAAGUCCAAAGAUUUAUCGCCAGAGGAUGAGCCCGCGUAGGAUUAGCUAGUUGGUGUGGUAAAGGCGCACCAAGGCGACGAUCCUUAGCUGGUCUGAGAGGAUGAUCAGCCACACUGGGACUGAGACACGGCCCAGACUCCUACGGGAGGCAGCAGUGGGGAAUAUUGGACAAUGGGCGAAAGCCUGAUCCAGCAAUGCCGCGUGAGUGAUGAAGGCCUUAGGGUUGUAAAGCUCUUUUACCCGGGAUGAUAAUGACAGUACCGGGAGAGUAAGCUCCGGCUAACUCCGUGCCAGCAGCCGCCGUAAUAC